GAGAUGAAGGUUAUGGAGAUAGAAGAAUCAAGAGAGCGUCGUGGUCCAGAGUUUGUUACAGAUGGUUAGAGGAUGCAGGGUGGCGUAUUGAAUGGUUGCUGAGCCAGUUAUUCAUGGUGCGGUUUUGUUGAUAGAGCAUGAAGGACCAAUACUCUCUUUUGUAUAUUUUUUGUAAUCUUCUGUAAUCCAAUUUAUUUCAUAAUGGAGUUUGAAAUGUAUGAAUACUUGGACUUUUGAAGAUUUUGUAAUGAAUAUGAUUUUGGACCUUUGUGA